rnacentral:rRNA from 1 species
UACGUAGGGGGCAAGCGUUGUCCGGAAUUACUGGGCGUAAAGCGCACGCAGGCGGUUCGCCAAGUUUGGAGUGACAGCUGUCGGCUCAACCGACAAAGGACUUCAAAAACUGGUGAACUUGAGGACGAGAGAGGAACAUGGAACUCCAGGUGUAGUAGUGAAAUGCGUAGAUAUCUGGAAGAACACCAAUGGCGAGGGCAAUGUUCUGGCUCGUUUCUGACGCUCAGGUGCGAAAGCCAGGGGAGCGAACGGG